AACGAACGCUGGCGGCAUGCCUAACACAUGCAAGUCGAACGAGACCUUCGGGUCUAGUGGCGCACGGGUGCAUAACGCGUGGGAACCUGCCCUUAGGUUCGGAAUAACUCCCCGAAAGGGGUGCUAAUACCGGAUAAUGUCUUCGGACCAAAGAUUUAUCGCCUUUGGAUGGGCCCGCGUUGGAUUAGCUAGUUGGUAGGGUAAAAGCCUACCAAGGCGACGAUCCAUAGCUGGUCUGAGAGGAUGAUCAGCCACACUGGGACUGAGACACGGCCCAGACUCCUACGGGAUGCAGCAGUGGGGAAUAUUGGACAAUGGGCGAAGGCCUGAUCCAGCAAUGCCGCGUGAGUGAUGAAGGCCUUAGGGUUGUAAAGCUCUUUUACCCGGGAUGAUAAUGACAGUACCGGGAGAAUAAGCUCCGGCUAACUCCGUG
rnacentral:rRNA from 1 species